CAGUCUCCGCGGUAAUACGUAGGUGGCAAGCGUUGUCCGGAAUUAUUGGGCGUAAAGGGCUCGCAGGCGGUUUCUUAAGUCUGAUGUGAAAGCCCCCGGCUCAACCGGGGAGGGUCAUUGGAAACUGGGAAACUUGAGUGCAGAAGAGGAGAGUGGAAUUCCACGUGUAGCGGUGAAAUGCGUAGAGAUGUGGAGGAACACCAGUGGCGAAGGUGACUCUCUGGUCUGUAACUGACGCUGAGGAGCGAAAGCGUGGGGAGCGAACAGGAUUAGAUACCCCAGUAGUCCCUGUCUCUUAUAC
rnacentral:rRNA from 1 species